AUGGUCGCCGGCGGGAGGGCGGUCCUGCGGCGGGCGAAGAUGGGCGGCGACGACGACGACGACGAGUACGUCGUGGACGAGGACGAGGAGGAGGAGGUGGAGGAAGAGGAUGACGCGGCGGUUGCGUGCUCCGACGAGGACGCCGCCGAGGAGGAGGAGGAGGCCGACCCGGAGCCGGAGCCCGAGGACGAAUCUGACGCCGACUUCGACGGGGAUGCGGAGGAGGAGGAGGACGACGAGGAUUUCGAGAUCGACAAGCCGCGGCAGCGGCCCAGGCGCCCUCCCAGGCCUUCCCCCAGGCCUCGCGGGCGGGGCAGGAAGAAGGCCAAGUCGGACGACGACGACGAUUCCGACGCGGUUUCCGAGGAGGAGGACGACGACGAGGACUUCGAGAUCGACGCGCCGCGGCCCAGGCGUCCGGCCAAGGCUCGCGGCCGGGGCCGGAAGCGGAGGCGGAAGCAGGAGUCGGAGGACGAAUCCGAUGCGGAUUUCGAGGAGGAGAUCGAGACGCCGCGGCCCAAGGCUCGCCGCCGGGCCAGGAAGGCCAAGCCGCGCGACGACGACGACGACUCCGAUGCGGAUUUCGACGACGAGGAGGAGGACGAGGAUUUCGAGAUCGACACGCCGCGGCCGAGGCGCGCGCCCACGGCUCGCUCCCGGGGCAGGACGAGGGUGCAGGAAGAGGAGUCCGACGCGGAGUUCGAUGGGCAGGACGAGGGGUUCGAGAUCCAGACUGGAAGGCCGAGGCGUGCACCCACGGCUCGCUCCCAGGGCAGGGCAGGGAAGCAGGAAGACGAGUCUGACGAGGAGUUCGAUGGGGAGGAGGGUGAAUCGGAGAAAGAGGAGGUGGAGGUCGAGGCGCCAUGGCCGAAACGCCCAGCCACGGUUCGGUUCCGGCGCAGAAGGGAGGAGCAAGAGAUCGAGUCUGAUGCAGAUUUCAAAAGGGAGGAGGAGGAAGAAGUGGAGAAUGAGCAGUUGGAGGUCGAGACCCCACAACCAGCCAUGGACCCUUCCUGGGGUAGGAGUGGGGAACAAGAGGAUGAGUCUGAUGCCGAUUUCGAUGGGGAGGAGGAGGAACUGGAGAAUGAGGAGUUAGAGGUCGAGACCCCACUGUCAGCCAACUUUCGCUCUGGUGGCAGGAAUGUGAAGGAGGAGGAUGAGCUUGAUGCAGAUUUCAAUGUGGCGGAGGAGGAAGCUGAGGAUCUGGAAGAGGAUGAAGAGCUGGAGAUCGAGACGCCAGAGUCAGUCAAGUAUCGUUCCGGCGGCAGGAAUGUGAAGGAGGAGGAGGAGCUUGAUGCAGAUUUCAAUGUGGCUGAGGAGGAAGUUGAGGAUCAGGAAGAUGAUGACGAGCUGGAGAUCGAGACGCCAGAGUCAAUCAAAUAUCGCUCCGGUGGCAGGAAUGUUAAGGAGGAGGAUGAGCUUGAUGCAGAUUUCAAUGUGGCUGAGGAGGAAGUUGAGGAUCAGGAAGAGGAUGAAGAGCUGGAGAUCGAGACGCCAGAGUCAGUCAAGUAUCGCCCCAAUGGCAGGAAUCUGAAGCAGGAGGACGAGUUUGAUGCAGAUUUCAAUGGGGCGGAGGAGGAAGUUGAGGAUCAGGAAGAUGAUGAGGAGUUGGAGACGGAGACGCUACAGCCCAGGAACCUGUCCGAGGCCCGUGGCAAGGGCAGGAAGGUGAAGCCAACGGGCUCUAGCCGGCAGAGACAUGAGGAUGAUGAUGAUUACGAGGAAGAGAUCGAGGAUGAGGAUGAAGACUUUGAUCCGGAGGUGGACGAAGAUGAGGAGGAUGAGGAGGAAGAUGUUGAAGAAGAAGAUGAUGAUUUGGGGGAUUAUGCCCCAACUCUCGCCACAAAGGUUAGACCUAGGAACCACUUGGCCAAGCGGAAGCCAGCGGCUGGGCGCCAACACCGUAAGAGGAAGAGUGGUUCCAAGGGAAAGACAAGGAAUGUCACGUCAGCACGUCGGCGUAGGAGCAAGCGGCGGGUGGCUGACGACUAUGAAGACGAUGAGGAGGAAGAGGAUGAUGAUGAUUUUGUUGUGAAGGACGACGUGGAGGAAGAGGUCAAUUACCGGCCAAGGAAGAAGGCUAAGGUUGGGAGGAAGACGAGGGAAGGCACUGCAGAGCCAGUUGCUGUGGGAGAAGCAUGGCCAUCAGUCGAAUCUGACACAUCAGAAUUUGAGUUUGUGACAUCUGACGAGGAUCAUGCUGAGAAGGAAACACCAGUAGCUGAGCCUGCGAGGAUCAAGAGAAAGAAGGGUAGGAGGAAGAGGGGUUCUGAAUCAGACUCGUCUUCAGACUCUGAUUAUGUCAUAUCAGAGGAGGAACUUAAGGAUUUGGGGGUGCCUAGGCCCCAAGAGACCGUGCCACAGCUGCCUUCGCCCCCAGCACGAAGGACCAUUGCUCCUAGGAGGGUAGACGAGAAGGGAAAAGAGCCAGAGGAGGCUUUGAAACAGAUAUGUGGUAUCUGCCUCUCAGAGGAGCAGAGAGCUACAAUACAGGGUGUGCUUAAUUGCUGCUCACACUACUUCUGCUUCGCGUGCAUCCUGGAGUGGUCAAAGGUGGAGUCGAGGUGUCCACUGUGUAAACGGCGUUUCAACACAAUUACCAAGUCAUCAGUGGCAGAUCUAGGAUUGGGGUUGAGGAAUGCUCCUGUUAGGGUAGAAAAGCGCGAUCAGGUAUACCAGCCCACUGAAGAUGAAAUGAGGCGUUGGUUAGACCCAUACGAAAAUGUUGUAUGUAUAGAGUGCAAUCAAGGUGGUGAUGACAAUCUCAUGUUGCUAUGUGAUAUAUGUGAUUCCUCUGCACAUACUUUCUGUGUUGGUCUGGGGAGAGAAGUACCAGAAGGCAACUGGUACUGUGGUGGGUGUAGAUCCAGUGUGGAAGGGCCUUCUCAUGCACAAAUACAGGAUAGGGUGGUUCACCGUGGAGAUAGUAACAUGAACACCGCCGAUAGCAGUUCUGGUUCGUUGGGCAGAUCUACAUCAAGUGGAGUGUUCCAGAGACCACCACCAAUAAACGUUCAGCCUUCUUUGCAAGGAUUUGAUCUGAAUCUCUCUCCAAUAGAAACCCCUGAGGAAGAUAAGCGAGCCGAGUCACAUCUCUCAGCUGAACCUGUAUCAACUCCUACUGGGAGGCAUGCAACUCUUGAUAGGAGGCGUGCCUUGAACCGACGCAUUCGUAUUCUUCUAUUUAGACCUAGGACUGCAACUAAUGCUUGGCAGAAUAGCAUUCAGCAAGACAGAAGCGCACCAGGAACAGAACAAAAUCAACGGAUCGCCUGCACCUCUACAGAUGUGAGCCCAUCAUGUUCCAGGGCUGAUUUUAUGCAGAGCCAGCAGAGUAGCUCACAUUUUGUACAGUCUGCAAGUAAUCUUAAUCAAUGCACUGAUGAGGGUGGAAGCAAUUUCCGAGAAGUAGCGAAUGCCAAGGACCAGCUGAUUCCUAUUGUGAAGAAGAGCAUCAAGCACAUUUGUGCCCGGUCCCCAUUGGAUCAAUCUUCUUUCACGAAUGUAGCACGGCGGGCGACACACACUAUCUUAGCGUUGUCUGGUAUUGCGCACAACAAGGAUAGGGUUGUUUCUACACCGUUUCCUUUUCCUAGCCAUUGUUGCCACGCCUGUGAUGGCCGAGAGCCAGCGUUUCUCAUGAGAACCAUCUGCUCGUCAUGCUUCAACUCAUUCGUUGGUGAUGUCGUCAGUCACAUCGCCAAUAUGUUUUCUUGA
rnacentral:rRNA from 1 species